rnacentral:rRNA from 1 species
GCUUGUCUCAAAGAUUAAGCCAUGCAUGUCUAAGUAUAAAUAACUACACAGUAAAACUGCGAAUGGCUCAUUAAAACAGUUAUAGUUUAUUUGAUACAUUUUAAAUGGAUAACUGUAGAAACACUAGAGCUAAUACAUGCUAAGACCGUAAGGUUGUAUUUAUUAGAUAUACCGAGUAGGUGAAUCAUGAUAACUUCACGAAUCGCAUGGCCUCGCGCCGGCGAUAUUUCAUUCAAAUUUCUGCCCUAUCAAUUGGCGAUGGUAGGAUAGAGGCCUACCAUGGUGUUAACGGGUGACGGGGGAUUAGGGUUCGAUUCCGGAGAGGCAGCCUGAGAAACGGCUACCACAUCCAAGGAAGGCAGCAGG